UCCCUAAUAGCUCAGUUGAUAAAGGAUCUGCUUGCAAUGUAGAAGACCCUGGUUCGAUUCCUGGAUUGGGAC
rnacentral:tRNA from 1 species